ACUUUGCUGACGAGCGGCGGACGGGUGAGUAAUGCUUGGGAACAUGCCUUGAGGUGGGGGACAACAGUUGGAAACGACUGCUAAUACCGCAUAAUGUCUACGGACCAAAGGGGGCUUCGGCUCUCGCCUUUAGAUUGGCCCAAGUGGGAUUAUCUAGUUGGUGAGGUAAUGGCUCACCAAGGCGACGAUCCCUAUCUGGUUUGAGAGGAUGAUCAGCCACACUGGGACUGAGACACGGCCCAGACUCCUACGGGAGGCAGCAGUGGGGAAUAUUGCACAAUGGGCGCAAGCCUGAUGCAGCCAUGCCGCGUGUGUGAAGAAGGCCUUCGGGUUGUAAAGCACUUUCAGUCAGGAGGAAAGGUUAGUAGUUAAUACCUGCUAGCUGUGACGUUACUGACAGAAGAAGCACCGGCUAACUCCGUGCCAGCAGCCGCGGUAAUACGGAGGGUGCGAGCGUUAAUCGGAAUUACUGGGCGUAAAGCGUACGCAGGCGGUUUGUUAAGCGAGAUGUGAAAGCCCCGGGCUCAACCUGGGAACUGCAUUUCGAACUGGCAAACUAGAGUGUGAUAGAGGGUGGUAGAAUUUCAGGUGUAGCGGUGAAAUGCGUAGAGAUCUGAAGGAAUACCGAUGGCGAAGGCAGCCACCUGGGUCAACACUGACGCUCAUGUACGAAAGCGUGGGGAGCAAACGGGAUUAGAUA
rnacentral:rRNA from 1 species